UAUUAAAGUUGUUGCGGUUAAAAAGCUCGUAGUCGAAUUUGUGUCCCGCGCCGCCGGUUCAUCGUACGCGGUGUUAACUGGCGUGCCGCGGGACGUCCUGCCGGUGGGCCUAAGUCCGCAAGGACGUCGGCCCGACCCAAUCCCGCCGCGGUGCUCUUCAUUGAGUGUCGAGGUGGGCCGGCACGUUUACUUUGAACAAAUUAGAGUGCUUAAAGCAGGCUAAAACUUCGCCUGAAUACUGUGUGCAUGGAAUAAUGGAAUAGGACCUCGGUUCUAUUUUGUUGGUUUUCGGAACCCCGAGGUAAUGAUUAAUAGGAACGGAUGGGGGCAUUCGUAUUGCGACGUUAGAGGUGAAAUUCUUGGAUCGUCGCAAGACGGACAGAAGCGAUCGCAUU
rnacentral:rRNA from 1 species